UUUUUCAUGCUCACCAUGCUC
ensembl:piRNA 21ur-7734 ncRNA